AGAGUUUGAUCAUGGCUCAGAGCGAACGCUGGCGGCGUGCUUAACACAUGCAAGUCGAGUGCGCGGUUCAGUGUAGCAAUACAUUGAAUUGGCGCACGGCGCACGGGUGCGUAACACGUGGGUGACCUGCCCUAAGAUGGGGAAUAACCCCGCGAAAGCGGGGCUAAUACCGCAUAAAAUUCCGCGACAUUCGGGUUGCGGAUUCAAAGUCUUCGGACGUCUUUGGAGGGGCCCGCGGCCGAUUAGCUAGUUGGCGAGGUAACGGCUCACCAAGGCAAUGAUCGGUAGCUGGUCUGAGAGGAUGAUCAGCCACACUGGAACUGAGACACGGUCCAGACUCCUACGGGAGGCAGCAGUGGGGAAUCUUGCGCAAUGGGCGAAAGCCUGACGCAGCGACGCCGCGUGGGGGAUGAAGCUUCUCGGAGUGUAAACCCCUUUCGAUCCUGACGAAACGCCCCGCAAGGGGAAUGACGGUAGAGAGAGAGUC
rnacentral:rRNA from 1 species